rnacentral:lncRNA from 1 species
AAAAUCUAAGGCCAAAGUCAAAGGUACCUUUAAGGUAAUGAAGGAAUCUUUUCACUUUUUUGAGAUUGCCUUUUGUUGGCGCUUAGAAAUGUUCAGAGACCUGAUUGACAACAAAUGUGAUAUGUGGCCUUAUGUAGGUGGGAUACUGAAGGCUUUUAACAAGACCUCUAUAUUCAGUCGCAUCCACAGGUUCAUUAUCAUUCGAACACGGUAUUGAUCAUACAACAAUUAGCGUGUUGAUAGGAGAACAAUCCUGCAUCCGUGCCUUUGAAAGAAUGUCUAUAGUGUACUUUGCUUGAGAUAGAAAGAUGCAAUGCGUGAAUUGUUGAACUUCAAUGCCGAGGAAAUAAUUUAGAUUACCAAGAUCUUUUAAAGCAAACUUUGAGGUGAGAUUGUUGAUAAUUAAUUGAAUUUCCUUCUCAUUAUUUC